rnacentral:rRNA from 1 species
CAGCCGCCGCGGUAAUACCGGCGGCCCGAGUGGCGGUCACUAUUAUUGGGCUUAAAGCGUCCGUAGCCGGGUUGGGAAGGCCUCCGGGAAAUCUGGCCGCUUAACGGUCAGAAUGCCGGAGGAUACUCCCAGCCUAGGGAGCGGGAGAGGCCGAGGGGAUUCCCGGAGUAGGGGGGAAAUCCUAUAAUCCCGGGAGGACCACCUGUGGCGAAGGCGCUCGGCUGGAACGCGUCCGACGGUGAGGGACGAAGGCCAGGGGAGCAAACCGGAUUAGAUACCCGGGUAGUCCUGGCUGUAAACGAUGCGGACUUUGUGUCGGACAAGCUAUGAGCUUGUCCGGUGCCGGAGGGAAACCGUUAAGUCCGCCGCCUGGGGAGUACGGCCGCAAGGCUGAAACUUAAAAGAAUUGGCGGG